AGUGAACGCUGGCGGUAGGCCUAACACAUGCAAGUCGAACGGCAGCACAGUAAGGGCUUGCUCUUACGGGUGGCGAGUGGCGGACGGGUGAGGAAUACAUCGGAAUCUACUUUUUCGUGGGGGAUAACGUAGGGAAACUUACGCUAAUACCGCAUACGACCUACGGGUGAAAGCAGGGGAUCUUCGGACCUUGCGCGAUUGAAUGAGCCGAUGUCGGAUUAGCUAGUUGGCGGGGUAAAGGCCCACCAAGGCGACGAUCCGUAGCUGGUCUGAGAGGAUGAUAAGCCACACGGGAGCUGAGACACGGACAAGAGUACUACGGGAGGCAGCAGUGGGGAAUAUUGGACAAUGGGGGCAAGCCUGAUCCAGCCAUACCGCGUGGGAGAAGAAGGCCUUGGGGUUGUAAAGCCCUUUUGUUGGGAAAAAAAAGCAGCAGGUUAAUACCCCGCUGUUCUGAGGGUACCCAAAAAAUAAGCACGGGCUAACUUCGUG
rnacentral:rRNA from 1 species